rnacentral:lncRNA from 1 species
UUUUUUUUUUUUUUUUUUUUUUUUUCAUUUUCUUUUUCUUUUAGGGCCACACAUGCGGCAUAUGGAGGUUCCCAGGCUGGGGGUCUAAUCGGGGCUGUAGCCGCUGGCCUGCGCCACAGCCACAGCAACACGGGAUUCAAGCCACAUCUGGGACCUACGCCACAGAUCCAGCAUUGCCGUGAGCUGUGGUGUAGGUUGCGGAUGUGACUCGGAUCUGGCGUUGCUGUGGCUGUGGCGUAGGCUGGCAGCUGUAGCUCUGAUUCGAGUGGCCCUAAAAAGACAAGAAAAUAAAAAGAGUACAAGUCUGUUAGCUUUUUACUCUGACGAUGCACCAAAAAUUCUCAGAGAUGCUCAUGGCAGUUGUACUCUUCCCCCGGCCAGAGGGCUGUUCCCCUGCCUCCCUCCGUUGGGUGGAGGAAUGAGUCCAAGGACCCCCCAGGAAAUAAUAGCAAGAGCUCUUGUUGGCUGACCAGCUUGUGCUAGACACCUUGUCAGGUGCAGGAGGACUCUUCCAACACUGACUCUCCACGGCAGCUCUACAGGACAGACACGAUGGUACCCACUUGAACGGUGUGCACACCAAGGCCGAGGAGGCAAAGGUGGGCACAGGCCCAUCCUGAACAGCUGGGUGGGGAGGGGGAAAGGGGGGAGGGGAGGGCGGUUGGUCCUGAGCAGGUGGCGGCAUGUAGCCUGAGGCGAAGGAAGCUUUCCGAUCUCGUCCUGUUCUUUUUCCUCCUGGGCCUCGCAGGGCCUGUGCUUCCGAGGCACCUGCUGUAGGCAGGAGGGUAUAAUUCCCAGCGAACCCAGCAGCCCUCCCGACGGGUCCCGGCUGGCAGGGAUGCCCAGGUUCUCCUGACGGGGAGAGGAUCAUGCUCCAGCAGCUUUUUCCGGUGCAGGGACAGGCGCCUAGACGUGGAGAAACGCGGGCUGGAUUCGAAUCCUGGCCCUACGCUUGCGGGACCUGGGGAGGGCUGUUCUCGGCGCCCCAGUCUCCUCGUCUGUAAAGUGGGCACAUGCUGAUAGGUAGAACUCACUUCAUAGAGGAUUCGCCGCGGCAGAGCCUCGAUCCCUGUGCUCAUGCGGUAUUAAGACUGUCGGGCGUGUUAAGCUCAGGACAGAGUAUGUGAUGUGUAAGGGACACGGGACAAGCAUGGUUUCCUCCCACACGAGGGCCACCGGCAGGCGUGUCCGCGUUCAUGAAUGUUCCUAGGGAGACGCCCCACUCCUCGGUGGGGUCCUGAACCAGACAGGAGGGCACUGGCAGCAUCCGAAGGUGCACAAACCUCGUCAGACGGGAAAGCAGAUUUCUGGUUGCAGCCGUGUCCUGGUGGAGAGGGAGCCUGUCUUCAGGCACAGUUAGGAAGGGGCCGUGUUCCCUUGUUCAGAACGGAACUCCUUGAUGCAGCUCAAGACAUCUUGGCACGGGUUUGCUUCGUCACUGGUUUUGUUUUUGUCAUCUCGUCAGGGAUGCAAGGAAACAGCCAAGAUGGCAGGAGCUGUGCACUCGCAAAUACUCAGACGCUUAAUGAGUAAAAGCAGGGAAAUGCAGAAUUCCAUGCAGAAUAAGGCAGGAACAUACAGAUCGGACUUGGGUUCAGGGAACGUCUCCCUGAAAAGGUAACACUUCAGCUGAGUCCCUGUCCCCGUCUUGAGUGGGCCUCCUGGCCAGGAUGCCAGCCCGGGGGAUUGCUCGGUGCUUCCUCUCUGCAGAGAGCGCGCGGCUGUUUAUUAAUUAAGCAGUGGGUUAUAAUGCGCGCUGAAUGAAUAGAUCUGGUCUGUCUUCCAGCCUGGGAAGCAGGGCUCUUAGAUUUUUAUGUUAUUUCCCCCCAAACGAUGCAUUCUUGCAGCUCCAGUGAGAAAACCGCCUGUGUGUUUGGGCUGGAAGGAAGCUGCAUUUGUCCCUCUUCCUACCUGUGGAGGUUGUCACUUGCAGGGAGUCAGACACAGACACGGCUCUGUGCACCUGCUUGGUGGCGGUCAGGCGCCUUCGUAAACUCUUAGGGUGGUCCCGCUCCUUCUGGGUACGUCCAGUAUACGUGUGUGUGUGUGUGUGUGUCUGCACACACGGGCUCACGUGCACAUGUGGCCUGAGUUUGAGCACCUGCUGGCCAGAACACCUGAAGACAAGCUCAGCCCUGUGCCUCUGCGGGGCCUCCUCUGAGCCCGGACGGGGCCGCGGCGGCGGGGUGCGGGGGGGGAUGGCAGAAACCCUGUGGACGGGAGGUCUGCGCCGAGGCUCUAGGGCCGAGGAAAGGGACCACGUCGAGCCGAGUGCAAGGGGACGCUUGUUACUGACGGGGGGUCAGCCGCUCUGGGGGUUGGACUCCAGGUCACGCCUCCCUCCCCCUCGCCUGCUCCGUCCCGCCUGCCCCCAGAGGAAGGCCGUCUGGGAAGGCGGGGACUUUCCUCUGUCCUCUUGGCUCUGUGUCCAUCAACAGAGGCUCACCGGAAACCAAGUUUUUCUUCUGAUGUUAGACAGAAAGGGCCGGAAGAGUUUGGUAUCCACACAGGGAAAACACUGAUUCCAGCACAUGGACCAAGAAGGACACAGAGAGGCGCUCCCGUCGUGGCUCAGACUAGUGUCCACGAGGAACUGGGUUCGAGCCCUGGCCUUGCUCAGUGAGUUAAGGAUCUGACGUUGCUGUGAGCUGUGGUGUAGGAUCCCGAGUGGCUGUGGCUGUGGCUGUGGCUGGCAGCUGCAGCUCCGAUUCGACCCCUAGCCUGGGACCUUCCAUAUGCCGUGGGUGUGGCCCUAAAAAGCAAAAGAAAGAAAGAAAGAAAGAAAGAAAUACAAAACCAGCCAAAGCCUCCUGGUCCCAGGGUGCUGAGGGGCUGGAUGAGCGCUUCAUCCUGCCCCGGUGGAGCCUCGGGUGUCCCUGUGGCGAGGCCCUUAGGCUCUGUCCCAGCGCCACGCCCCUCUCCCCACCCGCUGCCCCCUCCCCAGCCCGUGUCCCCCUCCUCCCGGCCCAGAUGUAGGUCAUUCAGGGAAUCGCCCCUCCCUCGGCGGGUGGGCCUCACCCGCAAUCGUCCAGUCCUGAGAAAGGCUCGCUCUGUGACCAAACUUGAGGCGAGCUCUUCUGAGCACUUUUUCAGUUAGUUUUUGACAUUUGAGCCUCUCUGUUUGUGCGCGGUCUGUGUUUCGCAAGAGUCCCCCGCUAGGGUGGUUUAGUCAGAAUCCCCCACCCUCCGUGUCUGACCCGCCUCAGUAUCCGAUCGAGUUUCUCACCCCCCCCCACCCCCCCGUGAAGUCUGACCACCCCGACCUGCCUUCAGCGAGAACCCUGUGAGGUCGGCUUAGCCCUGAUGUCUCCUCUUGGUCACCUUCAUGCACGGACCCCCACUUGCUCCUUGGUUACACGUUCCCCCUUUUCCUUGUUGUAUGUGCAGGUCAGCCCCAGCUCUCUCCCCACUGCAAACCCCCAUCCCAGUGGUCCCUGCGCGUAUCGCGCGGCUCCCAGUACAGCCUGCCUUACUACCUGCUUUAACGGGUGUCAUUAAGAAAUACUUCUUCAACAGGCCCUACGAGGGUGCUGUCAGGACCCUCUGUCGUGGGGGCUGCCUCUGCCUGAAGACCCUCAGGGCCGUUGGAUGGGAGAGUAGAAUGUAAUUAAGAGGCCUGACUAUUUUUGGGGGGCCGCACCCUCGGCAUAUGGAAGUUCCCAGGCUAGGGGUCGAAUCAGAGCUUCGCCUGGGGCCUCUGCCACAGCCACAGCCACACGGGAUCUGAGCUGCAUCUGAGACCUGUGCUGCCGCUUUCGGCAACGCUGGAUCCUCAACCCACUGAGCGAGGCCAGGGAUCACACCUGCGUCCUCACACACACCAUGUUGGGUUUGUAACUCGCUGAGCCACAGUGGGAACUCCAGACCCGACUUUUGUCGGCACAUUCUGGGGACUUGACAGUGAGAUGGGCCUCACAGACUUGAGCGGAGUUUCGGGUCUGGCAGAACAGAGAUCAAAGGAACAGUGGGCUGGGCGCCUGGUGCCCUCACCCCCAAAAAACAGAUGGACAGGAAGGGCUGCGUCCCUGGCUGUAACCCAAGCUCACAGUGAUUAAGGAAGAACAAAAUAAUUCAGCCCUGAUUUCAGCCGACGAGGAGGCUUCAUAAACUGCUUGACACCCCGGGCCUUUUACUGCUCCGUCUUAAUCCUGAGGCUCCUUAGAAAUGAAAGCUGGCAUUUAUUGCGAGUUCAUUUUGAGACAGGCCUUGUUUUGCCCGGGUACAGAGGGGAGACUGGUGCACAGAGAGGUUAAAGGCUUUGCCAGAGGUCACACAGCUAGCAUGUGGCAGCGGUGACUUUAUACCCGGGAAGCCUGGUUCCAGAGCACCUCCCUUCCUCCACAUCCGAUUUCAAACUAUGCUCAAGUAUGUCCACAGGUACGGGAAGCAGCUUUUCUCAUUCAGUGUGUAAUGUGUUACACACAGCACAGUCAAUCGAUGGUCACUGGGGUAGUGCUGGCAUUAGUGGUAGGCUGUAUAUUAACAGUUAAGGGUGCCUUUUUCUGGUCUUUUUUUUAGGGCUGCACCCGUGGCAUAUGCAGGUUCCCAGGCGAGGGGUCGAAUCGGAGCUACAGCUGCCGGUCCACACCACAGCCGCAGCAACGCAGGAUCUGAGCCGCGUCUGCGACCCACGCCACAGCUCACGGCAGUGCUGGAUCCUUAACCCACUGAGUGAGGCCAAGGAUCAAACCCACAACCUCAUGGUUACUAGUCGGGUUCGUUAACCACUGCACCACGACCGGAACUCUGUGAGGGUGCAUUUUGAUCAAUGAAUGAUCUUUCCUUUGGAGUUUUGCCAGCGUUGCCUCUUGAUUUCUG